GACGAACGCUGGCGGCGUGCUUAACACAUGCAAGUCGAACGAUGAAGCCAGCUUGCUGGUGGAUUAGUGGCGAACGGGUGAGUAACACGUGAGUAACCUGCCCUUGACUCUGGGAUAAGCGUUGGAAACGACGUCUAAUACCGGAUAUGACGUGCGGCCGCAUGGUCUGUACGUGGAAAGAUUUUUGGUUGAGGAUGGACUCGCGGCCUAUCAGGUAGUUGGUGUGGUAAUGGCGCACCAAGCCUACGACGGGUAGCCGGCCUGAGAGGGUGACCGGCCACACUGGGACUGAGACACGGCCCAGACUCCUACGGGAGGCAG
rnacentral:rRNA from 1 species